rnacentral:rRNA from 1 species
UUAUCAAAAACAUGUCUUUUUGAAUUUAAUAAAAAGUCUAACCUGCCCAUUGAAAUAAUUUUUAACGGCUGCGGUAUUUUGACCGUACAAAGGUAGCAUAAUCAUUAGUUUUUUAAUUGAAAACUGGAAUGAAAGGUUGAACGAGAUAUAAGCUGUUUUAUAAAAAAUUUAUUAAAACUUUACUUUUUAGUUAAAAGGCUAAAAUUAGCUUAAAAGACGAGAAGACCCUAUAGAGUUUAAUAAUUUAAUGAUUUUAAAAAAAUUAGAAAAAUUUCAUUUAAAUUUAUUGAUUUAUUUUGUUGGGGUGACAGUAAAAUUUAAUAUACUUUUAUUAUUAAAAACAUUAAUUUAUGAAUUAAUUGAUCCAAUAAUAUUGAUUAAAAAUUUAAAUUACCUUAGGGAUAACAGCGUAAUUUUUUUUUAGAGUUCUUAUCAAUAAAAAUUUUUGCGACCUCGAUGUUGGAUUAAAAUUAAUUUUAGGUGUAGAAGCUUAAAAAUUAGGUCUGUUCGACCUUUAAAUUUUUACGUGAUCUGAGU